GGCUGAAUAGCUCAGAGGUAAGAGCAGUCGCCCGGCAAGCGAAAGAUUCGGGUUCGAUUCCCGAUUCAGCGA
rfam:Camponotus floridanus CamFlo_1.0_3.contig1705, whole genome shotgun sequence.